CUACGGGUGGCUGCAGUGAGGAAUAUUGCACAAUGGGGGAAACCCUGAUGCAGCAACGCCGCGUGGAGGAUGACGCAUUUCGGUGUGUAAACUCCUUUUAUCAGAGAAGAAAAUGACGGUAUCUGAUGAAUAAGCUCCGGCUAACUCCGUGCCAGCAGCCGCGGUAAUACGGAGGGAGCAAGCGUUAUUCGGAAUCACUGGGCGUAAAGGACGCGUAGGCGGGUCUUUAGGUCAGGUGUGAAAUCCUAUGGCUCAACCAUAGAACUGCACUUGAAACUGGGGACCUAGAGUAUGGAAGGGGCAGGUGGAAUUAGUGGUGUAGGGGUAAAAUCCGUAGAUAUCACUAGGAAUACCGAAAGCGAAGGCGACCUGCUGGGACAUUACUGACGCUGAGGCGUGAAAGCGUGGGGAGCAAACAGGAUUAGAUACCCCCGUAGUC
rnacentral:rRNA from 1 species